rnacentral:rRNA from 1 species
AUUGAACGCUGGCGGCAGGCCUAACACAUGCAAGUCGAACGAGUGGCGGACGGGUGAGUAAUGUCUGGGAAACUGCCCUAUGGAGGGGGAUAACUACUGGAAACGGUCGCUAAUACCGCAUACCAUCGGAUGUGCCCCGAUGGGAUUAGGUAGUAGGUGGGGUAACGGCGCACCUAGGCGACGAUCCCUAGCUGGUCUGAGAGGAUGACCAGCCACCCUGGAACUGAGACACGGUCCAGACUCCUACGGGAGGCAGCAGUGGGGAAUAUUGCGCAAUGGGCGCAAGCCUGAUGCAGCCAUGCCGCGUGUAUGAAGAAGGCCUUCGGGUGGUAAAGUACUUUCGGCGAGGAGGCGUUACUCACAGAAGAAGCACCGGCUAACUCCGUGCCAGCAGCCGCGGUAAUUC